UCGAGGGGUUUAUUCAUUAAAAAAAAACACCCUCUGUAUCCUUCCGCCCCUGGCCGGGCGGCGGGCGAGCCGCCGGGGGGGAGGAGGGGGCCGCCUUCCCCGCCUCUAACCGUGUGCGCCUUCCCUCCCCAGGCAGGGAAACUUGUGCUGGCCGACGGCCCCGGUGCCGGUACCGGAGGAGGACUGGAGCCUCCGGAAGCAAAGUUCUGUGACACUCCGACUCUGGGUACGAUAGCAGUCAGUGCACUACAGAACUUUGUCUCCGGCGGCGGCGGCGGCCCCGGAGCCUCAGGUGGACACGUCACUGCGGGCGCCCCGCCGGGGCGGCCGGCCCAGGCCCACCGGGUGCCGCAGCCGCACCUCGCAAUAAAGCUCUGCCGUCGUGGCCUCCCGCUCUGAAGUCUUGUUGGGUUGGUUCGUUCUGGGGGUUGUUUUUUGGGUUUGUUUUUUUUUUUCUUUUCCAGGGUAAAAAUAGCACGACAUCUGGGUACCCGAGGGCUACUUCAGCACGGUCAGGCCGGCCAGGCUGCCGGCAUAAAUGUGAAACGAACUGGUGCUCGGUGCAGCUGCAUCGGUGGUGGUCUUUAGAGUUGCAUCCCUGCAUCCCCCACGAAGUUAAGGCAAGAAGCUGAUGGCAUGGAGCAAGCCAUGGAGAAAAGGUGCAUCUCACACUAGUCAUUAAAGGUAAAGCUGGAGUCCUUGCCUUGACGAGCAGAUAUGGUGGACAAUACUUGCUUUGCUGCUGCCCGAUGUACUGCGCUCGCCUGUAGGUAUGGCUUGAGGGACCAGGAAGAAGAAGAUUUAGAUACAGCUGGAGAGAGAAGCAGAAAGUGGGGGGGUAACGGCAGAGGGUGGUGGGUGGAAGAGGCCGUGCAGUUUGCCCGAGGAGCAAGUUUUAUGUUCUGCUGUGAACUUUGAUGUCCAUCUGAUUGCAAUUUGGUAAGCACUUCCCAAGAUGUUAAACUGCCAGACUACGUUGACCAAACUAAUUUGGGAGCCUUAUGUAUAAUUGCACUCUGUGGAAGGAGCUAGUGCCCCUUGAGAUGCUUUAGUAAGUACCUGAAACAUAAUGUUCAUAAAAUACUAUAGUUACGUACUGUGGCCUUUUAAUUUAUGCUGUGUGUUAAUUUGAAAAUAAAAAUGGACUUAAAUUCUGGGUUCUUAGGGCUGUUGUCAUACAAUAUAAAUCCAUUAUUUCAGAAAUGGUUAACUAAGCUAAACGAAUGAGGACCCACGGUACAUGAACAGCUGUUGCUAAAAUAUAAUUGUCAUCUUCAGAGAGAAGCAGGAGAUGCAAGAGAGCACUGCCAAGAAAGCGGAGCUGUACUUAACCCAUGCACAGUAAACAAUCAAUACCAGUAAAGUCAAAAAAAAAAGGGAAGGCUCGCAAGUCCUCCAAGGUAAAAGUUUCAGGCAACAGCACUGUAAGUGACUGUUUGAGGAAAUGCGUGGAUGAUGACAACUUUGAUUCCCACCCUGAUGUGUUCUCAGCCAGCCAAAGCUGAGGUGGAACUGAAAAGCUGGGGAUAGUGUACAGGGGCAAGGCUGGGUGGUCAAGGGGAGCUGCCGUCACUCUGGAUCACUCCUGGAAAAGCAGAGAAGAGAAAGCAGGCUCAAGCCUGCAAGAGGGUACUUCUCUCAUAAAAGGCCUUUUCAACAAAAUUUUAAACUAACCUAUUCAACUUAUGCUCACUUGUGGGUUUAUGGACAGGCUGGUGGGAAAUACUAAUUUUGUAGUUUCAUUAAGUGCAGUCCUUGCCAUGUGGGUUUGAUUAAGCAGCCAAAAUAAAAAUACAAUGAAAACCGAAUCUUGUAUUUAAAAUAUUUCAUUAUUCAAAUUGUGUGUUCUUGGCUUAACGUUAAGCAUCCAGGUCUGGAUUACAUUCUUGUUCAGUACAGUUCACUUGUCUGAACCAUACUGUUUAGAUGUGGUGUUAAGUUCAAUUAUACUUGGGGUCAAGCAAGCAAAUGGGAAGAUGUAAAGGCAAACUUUAGCAGUUGUCUGUAAAGGAAACGAGGGUUUGGGCAACGUAGCUCAUAGUACAUAUAGAGUAGAUACUGUCUUCAGCAUUAUAUGGCCUGCUUGCCCUGUGUAGUUCGCAGCAUGAAGGCGAGUGAAAGCGUGAGAAGCAUAUAUUGCAGGCCCAUAUUGAUCUUUGUCUCAAUACUUUGAAAUCUUUGUGCUUAAAUCACAUUAAGUGAACAGCUUAUUUUUUAGGGUAAUGUUAAAAUGCUUUAUAAAACCAUAAAAGGUAUAAAAAGCUUUAUAUAACAGCGUUAAGCUCACUUCUGAUGUAUGCAGGUAAAUAGUGGCGACAGUUGCUGUUUCAGUGUAUAGGACCAAGCAGUAGAGGUAUUGCUAGCUAUGUAAAGCUUUUAACAAAGUAUUGUACUUGGUCACAUUCAAAGAUACUAAAUGUGAAAAGAAACCUAAUAAAAUACUUUGAACUACAAAUGGA